GCCGGCAGCUAGCUCUCUGCAGCUCACACAUGGUCGCCCACUGAAGCUAAGCAGAGCUGUGCCCGGUCAGUUCCUGCAUGGGAGACCCUAUGGGAAAGCUAGGUUGCUGUCGGAA
rnacentral:rRNA from 1 species